CCUACGGGAGGCAGCAGUGGGGAAUAUUGCGCAAUGGGCGAAAGCCUGACGCAGCGACGCCGCGUGAGGGAUGAAGGUCUUCGGAUCGUAAACCUCUGUCAGCAGGGAAGAACGGUCACUGUGCUAAUCAGCAGUGAAUGGACGGGACCGGCAAAGGAAGCACCGGCUAACUCCGUGCCAGCAGCCGCGGUAAGACGGAGGGUGCGAGCGUUAAUCGGAAUUACGGGGCGGAAAGCGCUCGUAGGCGGUAUGUCAAGUCAAGGGUGAAAUCCCCGCGCUCCAAGUGGGAACUGCCUUUGAAACUGGCAACCUGGAGUGUGUGAGAGGAUAGU
rnacentral:rRNA from 1 species